ACAGUCCUAGAAGAAUCUUUUAUUUUAGCUCACUACUGAGUGAAGUCAUUUGUGGACAUUUUAAGAGACAGGACUUCAAGUGGGGUUAGAUUGAUUAAAUAUUGAAUGAUAUAGAGAACCCACAGAGCUGCCUUCUUCUCUCUCUUCUACAGAUCCAUGUGCAGACCAUCCCUGCCCUCCUCAUGUUCCCUGUGAAUCCAACAACGGAAUAUACCGCUGUGCUUACCAUGAGUAUACCUCGACCACAGGAAAAGAGGCACUCACAGAUCCAAAAGUCACAUACAAAGAAAUCAACCAUGUGACCUGCUCUAACAUCGACAAUAGCGAUCCAACCUUCCAGAGCUGUCACAAUCAGUUAAAUUUGAGCAGUUCUCAGGACAACAGCACACAGAUCUGCACCCGUUUUGCCAAGCUGUCCCGCAGCUGUGGAGAGGGAAACACUGCUCUGUCCCUGCAGGAAAUCGGGAACAUCGGGAACCCUUACUGGUUUCUCACAAACCUCACUUCCCAAGUAACCACUGAAAAUCACAAGGAGAAAACAAGGCUAGUGACAAUCUACCUGCAGAGUAUGGAGGCGGCUGUCCUUGCAGCUGCAUCCAGAAAUACGGAAGAAACACAGAAGGUGGAAGGGCCUUUUAUGGGUAAGGAAUCACAAGGAUGGUAAGC
rnacentral:lncRNA from 1 species